rnacentral:rRNA from 1 species
GACGAACGCUGGCGGCGUGCCUAAUACAUGCAAGUCGAGCGAAUGGAAGGGAGCUUGCUCCCAGAAGUUAGCGGCGGACGGGUGAGUAACACGUGGGCAACCUGCCUGUAAGACUGGGAUAACUUCGGGAAACCGGAGCUAAUACCGGAUACGUUCUUUCCUCGCAUGAGGGAAGAUGGAAAGAUGUUUCGGCUAUCACUUACAGAUGGGCCCGCGGCGCAUUAGCUAGUUGGUGGGGUAAUGGCCCACCAAGGCGACGAUGCGUAGCCGACCUGAGAGGGUGAUCGGCCACACUGGGACUGAGACACGGCCCAGACUCCUACGGGAGGCAGCAGUAGGGAAUCUUCCGCAAUGGACGAAAGUCUGACGGAGCAACGCCGCGUGAGCGAAGAAGGCCUUCGGGUCGUAAAGCUCUGUUGUCAGGGAAGAACAAGUGCCAGAGUAACUGCUGGCACCUUGACGGUACCUGACCAGAAAGCCACGGCUAACUACGUGCCAGCAGCCGCAGUAAAAC